UUUCCGUAGGUGAACCUGCGGAAGGAUCAUUACUGAGUGAGGGCCUUCGGGCUCGACCUCCAACCCUUUGUGAACACAACUUGUUGCUUCGGGGGCGACCCUGCCGUUUCGACGGCGAGCGCCCCCGGAGGCCUUCAAACACUGCAUCUUUGCGUCGGAGUUUAAGUAAAUUAAACAAAACUUUCAACAACGGAUCUCUUGGUUCUGGCAUCGAUGAAGAACGCAGC
rnacentral:misc_RNA from 1 species